ensembl:lncRNA
CUCUGCUCCCCGAACUUCUGCCCUAGAGCCCUUCUGGACCCAUGAUAUUUACGUUUAUUUCCUCGCAAGAUUUUUACUCCUUGCUACAAGUUAUAGACUUUUAACUGGACAAAGCCAUGGUCAACUCUAGAAGAUUCAGCAAGAUCACCAUUAGGAAUCCUCCUUCAGGUGUUCCCAGAGGAUCUCAUUUAAUUGGCUAACCAUUACUGUACCUGCGAGUUGUGGGAAUAGAAAGUGAAGAUGCCACGUGGUGGAUGAACGGAUGACUGGGGUGGUGGUGUUCUGGAGCUCUGUUCCAGUCCAUUCUCUUGAGUGUCAAUAUCAUCUUUCCAAGUCCUCCCUCUUUCUCUGUUUAUCCACGUGGUACAGUUGUCAAGUUUAAAUUCAGUGAAAUUCUUCCUGGGCAUUAUUCUCUGCACACUUCCUUCAAGUCUACAGGCCAUCCAGCAGAGUGUUCUGAUUUCAGCCUCACAUUAUGUGUAAUUGCA